UACGUAGGGGGCAAGCGUUAUCCGGAUUUAUUGGGUUUAAAGGGUGCGUAGGCGGAGUGUCAAGUCAGCGGUAAAAUUUCGGGGCUCAACCCCGUCGUGCCGUUGAAACUGACACCCUUGAGUGAGUGAGAAGUAAGCGGAAUGCGUGGUGUAGCGGUGAAAUGCAUAGAUAUCAGGAGGAACAUCGGUGGCGAAAGCGCUUUACUGGACUGUAACUGACGUUGAGGCUCGAAGGCGUGGGGAGCAAACAGG
rnacentral:rRNA from 1 species